GUGCAGCAGCCGCGGUAAUACCGGCAGCCCGAGUGAUGGCCGAUCUUAUUGGGCCUAAAGCGUCCGUAGCUGGCCGCGCAAGUCCAUCGGAAAAUCCACCCGCCCAACGGGUGGGCGUCCGGUGGAAACUGUGCGGCUUGGGACCGGAAGGCGCGACGGGUACGUCCGGGGUAGGAGUGAAAUCCUGUAAUCCUGGACGGACCGCCGGUGGCGAAAGCGCCUCGGGAAGACGGACCCGACAGUGAGGGACGAAAGCCAGGGUCUCGAACCGGAUUAGAAACCCGAGUAGUCC
rnacentral:rRNA from 1 species